rnacentral:ncRNA from 1 species
AAGUGCCAGUGAAGAUGCUGGCUACCUGCGCCAGGACGGAAAGACCCCAUGGAGCUUUACUCCAGUUUGAUACUGGGAUCCGGUGCUGUAUGUACAGGAUAGGUGGGAGGCUAAGAGCCACAGACGCCAGUCUGUGAGGAGCCGCUGUUGGGAUACCACCCUUAUAGUACUGGGUUUCUAACCUGCGCCCGUAAGCCGGGCGGGGGACAAUGUCUGACGGGGAGUUUGACUGGGGCGGUCGCCUCCGAAAGGGUAUCGGAGGCGCUCAAAGGUUCCCUCAGAAUGGACGGAAACCAUUCGUAGAGCGCAAAGGCAGAAGGGAGCCUGACUGUGACACCGACGGGUGGAGCAGGUACGAAAGUAGGACUUAGUGAUCCGGUGGCAUAAAGUGGGAUUGCCAUCGCUCAACGGAUAAAAGCUACCCUGGGGAUAACAGGCUGAUCACUCCCAAGAGUUCACAUCGACGGAGUGGUUUGGCACCUCGAUGUCGGCUCAUCGCAUCCUGGGGCUGUAGCAGGUCCCAAGGGUUGGGCUGUUCGCCCAUUAAAGCGGUACGCGAGCUGGGUUCAGAACGUCGUGAGACAGUUCGGUCCCUAUCCGGCGUGGGCGCAGGAUAUCUGAGAGGAGCUGUCCUUAGUACGAGAGGACCGGGAUGGACGAACCGCUGGUGUACCUGUUGGCGACCAACGCCAUGGCAGGGUAGCCAAGUCCGGCAGGGAUAAACGCUGAAGGCAUCUAAGCGUGAAGCCCCCCUCAAGAUGAGAUAUCCCCCACACAAGUGGAUAAGACCCCUUGAAGACGACAAGGUAGAUAGGGUAUAGGUGUAAGUGCAGCAAUGCAUUGAGCUGAAUACUACUAAUCGGUCGA